GUAGGUGGCAAGCGUUGUCCGGAAUUAUUGGGCGUAAAGCGCGCGCAGGUGGUUCCUUAAGUCUGAUGUGAAAGCCCCCGGCUCAACCGGGGAGGGUCAUUGGAAACUGGGGAACUUGAGUGCAGGAGAGGAAAGUGGAAUUCCACGUGUAGCGGUGAAAUGCGUAGAUAUGUGGAGGAACACCAGUGGCGAAGGCGACUUUCUGGCCUGUAACUGACACUGAGGCGCGAAAGCGUGGGGAGCAAACAGGAUUAGAUACCCUGGUAGUCCACGCCGUAAACGAUGAGUGCUAAGUGUUGGGGGGGUUUCCGCCCCCUCAGUGCUGCAGCUAACGCAUUAAGCACUCCGCCUGGGGAUACGGUCGCAAGACUG
rnacentral:rRNA from 1 species